UUAUUGUUAUUGUUUGUUUUUUUCAAUUUCAGAUCUGGGGUUCAAAAUAUGGUAAUACUAAGGACGGAGUUAUUUCUUCCUCUGUUAUUGAAUGGGGCCCACUGAACGUUGCAUCUCGGAUCACGUUGAGAGACGAAAACGACAGGGAAAGAGCCUUGCUCCACGUCAAAUACUCUGGCUAAGACUCUUGUUUUGAUAGAGGAAGUCCUGGCCAAGAAGACCUUUUGUCUCUAUCUCAACUUCCAGAAGAUUAAUUAUUUUAUUGCAAAGAGUUUCUUAUAUAAUAUCUUCAGUUGAGGGAUAAUAUAAUUCUUUACUUUGUUGUUUUCUUUAUUUCUCCUUUUUUUAUUACAAUUUUACACCAUUCUCUAAAGAAUGACAUAAUUUAGAAAAGAAAAAUGCUCUAUUCAGUCCUCAACACAGCAUAUUUUAUGGCUAAGCUACAUUAAUAUUAAAUACUCUCAACUGCUUUCGCUUGUUAUUUCAUAUAUUCCCAAAAUACAAAUGGUUGUUGGGCUAGGGAUCUAGACAAUUUCGUAGAUAACGCAACUAAUUUUCGGUCGGUGUGGGUCCUAGGUGCCUACAUUGUGACUGAUUCAACAUAUUUCCAUCCGUAUAUUUAAAAACACUUAUCGUUUGAUAAAACUUGUAUUGAAGGUAAGACAGAAAAUCAAAUUUUGGAAAAGGUUCUUUAUAUUACAUACAAAAGGAAAAAAAAUCAAAAUGCAUCUGAAACAUUAUUGGGAAGAUGGGAUUAGGUUUUCCAGAAGAUUAGUGUGCCUUAUCUUUCUUAACCUUAGAGCGGCAGAUUGACAAUGGCAGCGGGAUGGCAGAAUUAGUAGGGCGUCGGACAAAAUGCUUUACAGUUUUUAAUUACGUCCCUUUAUAUUCUGAGUUCAAAUUCCACCCAGGUCAACUUUGUCUUUCAUCUUUCUGUGGUCUUUUUCAAAUAAAGUACCAGUCAAGUACUGGCGUCGAUUUCAUCGACUGUUCCUCCCGUCUCAAAUUUGUAGCCCUGUGCCUUACAUAGAAACUAACAUCUCUUUUCUCUUCAAACAAUACGUGUUGUAUUGUUUUUUUACUUUUCUAGGUUCUUCUAGCUGAAUUGUAAGGAACAAAAAUAAAAUGGCAAUAAAACUGUUUUCAGUAUAUAUAUAAAUAUC
rnacentral:lncRNA from 1 species